AAGCUUUUCCAUUAAAGUAUCUGAGUUUUGCAGGAGCAGCACUGGAGUCAACAUUACAUUGUUGUCAGCAGCUUACUUUUUUCUGGACUCCAUGCUUAGAAGAGAGGAAGGAAGGAGAAAACUGACUGAAGCAGUUCUUGAACAGGUUCACAAUGCUCAGGCUCUAUAGGUGAUGUACUCAAG